AGCAGUAGCCGCGGUAAUACGAAGGGUGCAAGCGUUACUCGGAAUUACUGGGCGUAAAGCGUGCGUAGGUGGUGGUUUAAGUCCGUUGUGAAAGCCCUGGGCUCAACCUGGGAAUUGCAGUGGAUACUGGGUCACUAGAGUGUGGUAGAGGAUAGUGGAAUUUCCGGUGUAGCGGUGAAAUGCGUAGAGAUCGGGAGGAACAUCAGUGGCGAAGGCGGCCAUCUGGGACAACACUGACGCUGAGGCACGAAAGCGUGGGGAGCAAACAGGAUUAGAUACCCGGGUAGUCCCUGUCUCUUAUAA
rnacentral:rRNA from 1 species